rnacentral:rRNA from 1 species
AACGAACGCUGGCGGCAUGCCUAACACAUACCAGUCGAACGAGACCUUCGGGUCUAGUGGCGCACGGGUGCGUAACGCGUGGGAAUCUGCCCUUGGGUUCGGAAUAACAGUUGGAAACGACUGCUAAUACCGGAUGAUGACGUAAGUCCAAAGAUUUAUCGCCCAAGGAUGAGCCCGCGUAGGAUUAGCUAGUUGGUGAGGUAAAGGCUCACCAAGGCGACGAUCCUUAGCUGGUCUGAGAGGAUGAUCAGCCACACUGGGACUGAGACACGGCCCAGACUCCUACGGGAGGCAGCAGUGGGGAAUAUUGGACAAUGGGCGAAAGCCUGAUCCAGCAAUGCCGCGUGAGUGAUGAAGGCCUUAGGGUUGUAAAGCUCUUUUACCCGGGAUGAUAAUGACAGUACCGGGAGAAUAAGCGCCGGCUAACUCCGUG